GUCGGAUGUUCAUAUGUGCCUGACUAAACAGCAUUACCAUCCAAAUCAGCACUUCGCGGUGGUGAGAAUCCUCUCAGGAUGUUCAAAGAGUGGAGAAGGUGACAAGAAAGUGGCAGCGGUUGCCAAAGCCUGGCUUAUUCAGGAGGACGUCUGCAAGUACCGUGAACUGCUCACUGCCUGGUUCAUCCAUGCUAGACAGAGUGAGACAUGUGACUGGGACAGAGCAGGCGCGUGCCAACAUCAUGCAACUCAGAGCCUUUACUGGAUAGCUGCUGUGUGCCAGGGGAGGUCCAACUUACAAAGAAGAUUCAUGUUACCAAGAAUCAAGAUAAGGGUUUGGAAAGCAGGAAACAAAACCAGCAGAAUCUAAAGAGGGUGCUCCUUGCUGAGUUAUAACCCAUGCCUGAAGGAACACUCAGGAGAGGAGGGGAAGGCUGGGAGAGGAGCCACUGAGCUCAGCUAAACACCGACCGACAAUAGUACCUGCGCCAGGAAGUCCUUGUGGCUGCGGAUGGUGUGUUGGAAUCUCUUGACCAGCAGCGCCUGCACAUGCUGGAGGACCAGCUGUGUCCCCGUGUUGAGCUGCGGGCCUGGGCACUCUGGCUCUGGGGGAGGCUGGCCCUCUGGGUGAGCAGCCGGCGCCCCUGGGGAGCAGACAUUGGAGUCCUGGGGUGUCUGUCCAGCCUUCUCUCUGGGACCCAAGCAGGGGUGUCGGGGGUUGACGUUUUCUCUUUUCUGCUGAGCGCCACCUGUUUUGAGAGAUUGAAUUAAUAAUUUGGAAAAUGCCUAUAAGGUCUGGAUCUCUAAUGCCAUUUUUUUUUUCCCUUACAGCAUUGAUUUUCCUCUUCAUUUAAGUCAGCAAUGAAAUACCAGGCUGGUAGCUUAAUCAUCUUUAUAAAAAUCUAUUUCUAGUGUAAAUUACUUAUACAGAGAAAUUGUAUAGAU
rnacentral:lncRNA from 10 species